UCCACUAUUCAACUCAGUAGAACAUUCAUAAAUGCCUGUGGAAACUCUGAAGCCACCCGACAACACACUUUGAGGUUAUCUUGAUUGCUCACUCUAGGGGAAGCCAGCUGGCAUGGGAAGUAGUGCAGUGGAGAAAUGCACAUGGCCAGAGACUGAGACCAAUCAUUUGAAUGAGUUUGGAAGCAUCCUACCCACCCCUGCCACCAGUCA
rnacentral:sRNA from 1 species